rnacentral:lncRNA from 1 species
AACAUUUUACAAGUGAAAUUCUCUCUCUAUAAUUUUUCAAUUGCUCAAAAAAUUGCAGGUAUGACACAUACGUUCUUCAACAUUUUACAAAUGAAAUUCUCUCUCUAUAGUUUUUCAAUUGCUCAACAAAUUGCUGGUAUGGUCAUCAAUAUAUUGUUGGUGAUUAUUGGAGGAGGUGGUGGUGGUUGAUUGUGGUGCAGGUGGUAGUGACAGUGAUGUGUUGAAGGAAGAGCAAGUGUGAGUUCCUUGUUCAAUCUAUCGUAUGGCUUGCUGUUUUAGAUUUGCGGUGGUGAUUGAUUGUGGUACUAGUCUGCAGUAUGUGCAAAUUUAAUAAUGACCCUCUGUGACCAAGUCCAUGUUAAUUGUGAUUGGUUGUAAUUAAGUUUGUGUUAAUUGUGAUUGGUUGUAAGUGUAUGUGUUGUAGUGCUUGUCUACGGAGUGUGCGAAUUUACUCGUGGUGAUCCUUUGUUAUCAAGUCUGUG